ACUAGAAAAUAUUUUCAUAACAUACCCUCAAAACCACACAAAAAUAUUCCUAAUCGAUUAAUUGUUCCAUAGAUUCACCCAAUAUUGACAAUAAAAACUAACUACACAUAAUAAUGAUGACAAUAAAAAGGAUAACAAUUAUACCAAUACCGAUUACGAAAUGAAGAUGACAAAACUUUUUGAAAUCGUCACUCCUUCUUGCUCCAAAAACUCUAUCAAUAAUCAAAGUAUUAAUACAAAAAUUAACCUAGUCUAAUCUAAAGAAAAUAACUAAUUACAACACAAUAAAAUCAUGACAUAAAUAUCAAUGAUAAUAUUGUUUGAUUUCCAAAAAUAAGAAAGCAAAAGAAAGGAGGAGAUACCAAAGGCGCCGUCACUCCCUCCUACUCUACUGCCGGCGAAAAAAUGAAUUGUGAUGCUUCUUCUUUUCUUUGUGCCCUUCAUUUGCUGC
rnacentral:lncRNA from 1 species